CUGAUCUCUUGCACGACAGCCUGCGUGGCUGUGAUACAGCUGGCAGGCAACCAUUCAUUAAUUUUUACAUAAAUAAGUUAAAGUAACAGUGAUUGAAACGGCAGCUAUAUUAAACAUGAUAUAAAUAACCUGACUUACGUAAAGAUGGUUAUAAUGAAAACUCAAAUUCACCUACAGGUUCUGUAACACCUCAUCCAUUAUCUUUUCUUGAAUUGGCAGAAGAGUAUUUUUUUCAUCCUUGAAGUCACCUGUUCAUUUCCUAAAACCAUAAAGAACAGGACAGCAUGUUACUGUAUAUACAUGCAGAUUUCCUGGAUAACACGAGAUCAAUUUCAACACUGAGUUUAUUUUUUUCCAUUUCAAGAAGCAGGUGGUAUCUCCACUAAGUGCUUGCAUGAAUUCAUGAAUUCACAGCUGAUGUAAAUCAGCAAAUCUUCAUUGUCUCCUAUCUAGGUGCAGUAUAACUUCAGGAAAUACCAGGCUCCUCAGAUGAAACCAUCAUACCCUUUUUAUGCAGAAAUUUCACACAAACUUAUCUUGAACAACUUGAAGUGUUUAGGGUUUUUGCACUACAAUGAUGGUAUAGCUACGUCAGAUAAAACAGAAAAAUGUAUUUUAUAUUCAUAUGUAUUACUUAAUACAAGUGCUAUUCCAACCACGCUGCUCAUCCCAGGAACUGAAGUAAUCCACAUCCUCAUGGGAGAAAUUGAAGUCUGGACCAACCCUAGUGCACCUCCCACUCCACAUCCUUGGAGCAAGGACAAAUUCAACAAUACAGUCUUUAAUAAUUAUGGUGCUUGGAGAAAUCCCAAGGUCAUAUCAGUGACCUAUAGGACCCAGAAGCAGAGGAAAAACAUACCAUGGGCAAAAAACAAGCUUACAGGUGGGGGUGACCUUCACAGAAUCACUGAACGGCUUGCAUUGGAAGGGACUUCAAGGAUCAUCAUGUUCCAGCACCCCUGCUGCAGGCAAGGUUGCCAACCACUGGGUCAAGUACUAGAUCGGAUUGCCCAGGGCCCUGUCCAACCUGGCCUUGAACACCUCCAGGGAUGGGGCAUCCACAGCGCUGUGCACACACAGCUGUGUGCUGAAGCUCCUGCUGCUGCAGGUUGAUGGACGUGUCAGAAAUGGGGCAAUGACCCUUCAAGGAUAUUACAACAGCUAUCAGAUCUGGCUGAGGUUCUUGUGCUAUAGUUUAACUCAUGACCUAAAUACUUCCCUAUCAUCAAAUACAAGAGAUUUCAGUGGGUUGUGAGGAAAUUCUGCCAGUAAUUCCUCCAGAAAAGGAAGUAGCUGUUCAGGAUCUCAUGACCUACAUUGUGAACUCAACACAUUGCAUUACUGAAAGUACUUGUUUGUAGAGAUUGUUUUUCUAUUUACUAUUCUAAACAGAGGAAAUUCUUUGCUGUUUUCUGUCUUUGUAACAUUUUUUUUGGAAGAUUCAUUUAUUUUUUCUUUCUCAUUGUUUGUAUGUUCUGUCUGAGGCACAGAAAAAAAUUCAAAACAAUGUCUUUUCCUUUUUAAUAUGACAUACUAUUAUUCAAGAGACUCUCAUUUAUGUGCACUUGGGACUCUAGUGCUAAGCUACAGUGCUUUGAAAAUGGCCACAGAUGCAGAGUUCCUGAGUUUUAGGUGUCUCAUUUGACUCAGAUAUGUUGGAUUCUCAGAUGAUUAUACAGUGAUCAGUCAUGUCCUAGGCAUUUUGUUUGCUGAAACAUCCUGCAGUCAACUAUUUGAACUAAAAAGUCCUAACAUUUGAUAACAUUUGAGAGUAUACUUCUGUCUUUUCGAACUGCAAUUUGUCCAAAACCUGAGUAGUAGUAGUAGUAGUAUCAAG
ensembl:lncRNA